AACAUACUUUUAUUAAAUCACAGUGCUAUGAGCCAGAAGUCAGGCACAACUUUUCUGGGUCCUCUCCUCAAGGCCCCAUCAGACUACCGUCAAGGUGUCAGCCAGUCUUUAUGCUCAUCUCUAGCUCCCCAUCCUCUUCCAGGCUCCUUCAAGUUGUUGGCAGAAUCCAGUUCCAUGUGGUUGUGGGACUGAGGUCCAUGUUUUCUUGACGGCUGUAUGCCAGGACAUUUUCAGGCCACCUUCCAGUGACCCUCUCCACAAUAUGGAUGCUCGUUUCUUCAAGGUGAACACAAGAUUCUCUGCAGUUGGCUAAGAUGGAGAUUUCCAUAAUGUAACGUGAUCACAGUUUGAGUCUGCGUGCGAUGAAAAAGAAUAAGAAUACAACUGACAAUGAGGAGGAGGAGCAGAAGCCAUUCCAUGUCCUGGACGUUAGGUCCCAAAAUGGAGCUGAUGGAAGAACGCUUACACUUGGGCAAGGGAGAAAAGAAGACACAUCCCAGACAGACAAGUGUCUUGAGGGGUGGAUCAUAGUACUCAUGAUGCCCUUUCUAUGGACCUCAACGCCAAGGUCCUUGGGAAAGAAACGUCAGCAGGUUGUAGGGAGAGGACAGGAGUGACAAAGGCAGCAGCCAGCCACCGAGGGCUUCUUCAGGAGCUGUGCCAGCAGGGUGGCCACCCCAAGGCCUCCCAGGGCCCUGCAAUCCUCCCCCCACCCCCACCAGGAGCCGCACUCAGAACCUGGACUGGCCCGGGCUGUCACAAGGCUCUGCAACUCACACCUCAACCAGCUGUCCUUUGAUUUACUGUUUCCAUAUUAAUAACCUUUCUAAGUCUUAUUAGAAAUAAGGUCAGGCAACUUUCCU
ensembl:lncRNA